rnacentral:misc_RNA from 1 species
UCCGAGUUAACCCCGGCAGUCUCCCGUGAGUCCCCAACUGAAUGCUGGCAACACGGGAUAAGGGUUGCGCUCGUUGCGGGACUUAACCCAACAUCUCACGACACGAGCUGACGACAGCCAUGCACCACCUGUCACCCAGUCCGAAGAGGCGCCCAUCUCUGAGCGUUUCCGGGUGAUGUCAAACCUAGGUAAGGUUCUUCGCGUUGCAUCGAAUUAAUCCGCAUGCUCCACCGCUUGUGCGGGCCCCCGUCAAUUCCUUUGAGUUUCAGUCUUGCGACCGUACUCCCCAGGCGGGGAACUUAAUGCGUUAGCUGCGGCACCGACGACGUGGAAUGUCGCCAACACCUAGUUCCCACCGUUUACGGCGUGGACUAC